ACCAUCAGACAUUAGAGAAUGUGUUUUCAUCACAGUGAACAGAGGGCUACACAGACUGCUUGUAACUGUUUUUAGCACAGUAAACAUGUAAACCAAAUGCCUAGGAAAAAAAGCUUUGCCUGGCAGCAAUUGAUCAUUUUUAAUUAAAACUUGAUAUAUUGAUAUUAAAAUGUGAUAUAUGAAUUUAACCAGCAAGAGAUGCCAACCCUAAAUGAUUUAGGGCACCACUAUUUAAGACUGCUUCUCACCCUAUAUCCCAUCACAGUACUUGCAAUCAGCUGGGGAGCGCCUGCUGUCAGUCCCCAGGAUAAAAAGCAAAUUGCUGGAGGCAGAGUGCUCUCAAGAGAGGGUCUGUUUGUACUGAAUGCAUUUCCUCAGCCAGUCUAUCAGAGCCUGUAGCUGCCUCCUUUCAGGCUGUGAUGCAAGACACCUCCUUGGUUUAGUUUACUGCAAAUGGUGAGGUUUAGUAGUUGGGUGGGUUUGGUUUGCUAGCAGGUGGGGGCGGUUUAAGGUAGUAUCAGAUGUAAUAUAUAUUCUUAGUUUGGUUUAUGAUGCCAAGGUACCAUUGGAAUGGACAUCUGUAGCAGGGUGGUUACCUGCUCCAGCCCUGACAGGGAUAAGGCCAGCCCUGGGAGAGGGCUGGGGCUGUGCGAAAAAGCCCAGGCUGAUUAAGGGAGCAACCGCAGCUGUGGCCAGCUCAAUCAGGCCCAGCUGGCCCCUAUAAGAGGCUGUGAGCCAGGAACCCUCUCAGCUUCCCUCUACAGGCAGAGGGAGAAGCACCUGGCUGCAAGGUGCUAAGCAGGACACCUAGAUUGGAGCAGGGCUGGGGAAGGGUCAGAGGAGCUGGGAGCUCUGGCCUGGAAAACCUCAGGCUGAAUAGAUGCAGAGGGGCAGCCCAUGGGUAGGUGGAGGCAGCAGGUCCAAAACCCCCUUGACUGUGUUGAGUGGUGUAUACACUGCAGUCUGUCCCUGAUACAAGAGGCUAAGUGGGGACUGGCAGUAGCCCAGACUGAGGUGAGGUGGGGUUAGAGGGUGGGGGUUCCCCUGGAUGGGGAGACCCAGAACCUGAGAGUAUGGGGGUACUGCCAGGGGGGCAGCACCCCAGAGAAAGGGGCACUGGGUCCUGGGAGGGACAUGGGGGCCAGCGGUAAGGUGGAUCACUGGCCUGCAGAGGGCACUCCAGUGACUGGACCUGCUAAUUCCUGAUGACUACCAGCAGGAGGUGCUGCUGGGUGUUAGUAAAUGAAAAUAUGAAGCCAAGGAAACUACAGAUGCAUUUAGAAACCAAACAUCAGGAAAUCCAGACUCAAGAACCACAAUUUUUUCCUUCAGAAAUAAGAAUUAAAGUAGCAAAGAAAGUCACGUCUAAAGCAGUAGCCUCAAAAAGCCUUAAACAUCAUAUGUUGUAGCCACGCAAAUUGCAAAUGGCAAACAAGCACAUGCCUUCUACUUCCAGCAGCAAAAGACAUCUGUAGAAUUAUAAUGGGGAAACAAGGAGCCAAGGCACUGAAAACUAUUCCUACAUCAAAUAAUACCAUCCCUCAAUCUUUUGAUGACCUAGCAGAAAACAUCCAGGACCAGCUGAUAGAACAAGCUAAGAAAAAUCAGUAUAUUGCAGUGCAGCUUGAUGAGUUCUCAGACAUAGUCAACAUGGCUCAGCUUCUGUGUUACGUGAAAUUUGUCAAAGCAGUUACAAUAGUGGAAAAACUUUUUAUUUUCCAAAAAUAUUCAAGACCACUGAUAAAUUUAUAGUGCAUGAAAGUCUUAAUUGGGCUAUGUGUGGGGCUAUGCACUGAUGGAGCAGUAGCUAUGACAGGAAAGAACAAGUUGCAGCACAAGUAAACAAAGUGGUACCAGCAGCAAUUUGGACACACUGCAUAAUUCAUCACCAAGCUUUGGCAUCGAAGCAGUUGCAACCUGAAGUACAUGAGGCCCUCAACAUUGUUGUUAAAAUUAAUUUUAUAAAACUCGAGGCAAUGAACACACAUUGGGCUAGUAUACUGUGUGAAGAGAGACUUUUGACUAAUAUUUUGCUGGAGCUGAACACGAAUGUCUAGCUCCUGACUGGAUCAUUCAAAACCCCACUGUGGCAACAGUUGGUUCCAUUCCUACCUUAAUUAUCUCUGCUCAAGAAAAUCUCUUUGAAUUGUCAAGUGAUCAGAUGCUGAAGAUCAAGUUUUCUAAUCUAACCACAAAUUCUGGAUUUCUGUUAAAGGAGAGUACAAAGAAUUCAGCGAUGAAGCUGUUGGGAUAACUGAAAAAAGAAAUACAAAAUGGAGUCUGUGACAUCUGACUUAGAACUCCAUCCUUGUUUACCUCAGGGGCACAGAAUCAAAGCUAGCCCCAACUGGUCAGGACUGGAUUUUCUCACCUUUUGGGCUCUGGACAGUCUGUUUUUCCUGCCCAAAUCCUUGAAGGUUCUAUCACUUCAGGCUUGCUUGGCAUUGCUAUUUGGAAUGGUCCAAUUUUUCCCACCUUAACAUCUAUAAAAGACUGACUCCUGCCUGGAUGCCAGGCUGUCCAUCUGAGCAGCAUCCUGUACGCGGUGCAGUAGAGGUCUCAUCAUGGUUCCGACCAUAUCAACGAGAGUGACGCCUAUCCCGAAGACACCAGAGAAGACCUUCAACACUUACCUUAUCCUGCUGUUCCAUCUCCAGAGGGCUUCUCUUCCACAGAGAUCACCAUCCAUCCGUUGGACUCCUCGGAGUUCCUCCUUGCUUGCUUUCCACUACCCCGAUAGUUAAGGUCUUGAGCAUCACCAUCGCACACAAUUCAGCACAUAGAUUAAGUAGAAAGAAAUCCAAUCUCUAUUUAUAGGGUAUUUUGCCAAGGGAGGAAUUUGUCUGGGUCUGGGCUUUGUCCCAUUGGAAGUCCCUGUCACUGUUGGUUGUAAUACCGGUUUGUGUUUGUGGUUUUCCCCCUUCCCUAUCAAUUGUAUUCUUAUCCCUAAUACACACACCUUUUGCUUUCACCUUA